rnacentral:lncRNA from 1 species
ACCGCUUGCAGCAAAGGCAAUGUGUACGCCUCUGGAGAUAGUUUAUGUCACUUUCGAGCCCCACUCACUCCAACAGUAGAACUAAACUACCUGGUCUUACAUGGAUUCUGACACUUGGCACGUUUGGCAAAUGAAUGAAUGAUCCAGUCAAUCAAUGAGUGAAUGCACGCAUGCUGAUUUAAAUUUCAGAAGAUUGUUACUGUUCAAAAGUAACUAGAUCAACAAGGGACCUCAAAGGGUCAGAGCUAGAGUUUAUCCUUAAAGACAUGACAACGUUGUCAAUGUAUGCUUUCUCCGGGGCAUUUGUGUGUGUGUCUGGCGUUGAGGAAAGUGGAAGACUAGCCCUCAGCUAACUACUGCCAGUCCUCCUCUUUUUGCUGAGGAAGCCUGGCUCUGAGCUAACAUCCGUGCCCAUCUUCCUCUAGUUUAUACAUGGGACGCCUACCACAGCAUGGCUGCCAAGCAGUGCCAUGUCCGCACACCCGGGAUCCGAAGCAGCGAACCCCGGGCCGCCGAGAAGCAGAACGUGCGAACUUAACCGCUGCGCCACCGGGCCGGACCCCUCAUUGAAACUUUCUAAACUUUAUGUGUUAGUGUUCUGUGUUGAAUAAUUUAGUGCAGCUACAGUUGACUGAAGCAGAGAUUCAACAUACAUUUCAAAGCUUCGAAAAACUUAACCCAAAACGUCCAACUGAUGAGAUUUACACAGUAACCUGGAGACGGUAAUUACCAUUGCCAAUUAAAAGCAACCAAACACAAAUGAUUAAACUUUAUAUAACCAAAACCAAUUCUCCAUGCUCCACAUCAUUCAUUCAUUGAACAUUUGAGCCCCAACUCUAAGCUAAAAACCCCGGUAGGUCAUGGGGAAAUGAGUGAAACAGCCCGUCCCAGGCUAGUGAGCGAGACAGGCAAGUGAAAAAAUACUACCAGUAAGAUAAGUGCUGUGAUGGAGGUAAACUCAGGGGCAAAUAGGAAAGGUUCCUUACCUGGAAGCAGAUGAGAAGCCAGAAAGAUGUCUGUGAGGCGUUGGCAUCUGAGCUAAGUUUUGAAAUUCCAGCCGCACCUAUUUGACCAGCUACAAAGAGGCGGAGUGGGUUUCUGGCAGAGGAAACUGCAAACGCAAAGGUUCAAAUGAGAGAAAGGCUCAAGUGGGAGAUGGAGGGAGCUCCCAAGUGAGUGAGUAUCUUGGAACACCAAGUAGGGGAUAGUGAGAGAGUCGAGGCAGGAGAGAUUAACAGGGCCCGAUAUAAAGACUGUUCUGAAACAGAGACAACUAGGCCCACUGAUAAAAUUUCAGCAAAGGUGGGGUAUUGUAGCAUAUACAUUAAAAAGAAUGUUCUUGUGCCAGGGUGGCAGAUUGGGACAAGGAAAUUAGGUAAGAGGCUUUUGCAGCUGUUCAGGUGAGAAAUGACGGGGCCUUGAACAAACAGGGAAGCAGAGGAACAAACCAAUACCACAAUCGUUUAGGAAGUAGAGUCUGUUAGGUCUGACAACUGAUCAUAUAAAAACUAAUGGGGAAAAGGAACCAAGCAAGGUUUUCCAUUUUCCAAAAAUCUUGCUGGGGUACGAAGUUAAUUUAUUCCUUAGACAGAUUACUCUACAAGUGUGAAAUUCAAGUGAAAUUUGAGUCAUGAAGCUUCUCUUUUAUCCAGGGGAGGGUGAGUUUCCCUGGGUCUGGGCUUCGGGUUUGUAGUCUCCGCAAGAAAAGUUUGGACAGACUGUCUUUUAAAAAAGUCUAAAUUUACACUGAAGCUUUAUUUGCUUUCUGUCUGUCAGAUCUUUAAAAUGCCACCCGUAUCUGGGUUCCUGAUAGCUUCCUUAUCUGAUGAGCGUGAGGCAGAGAAGUAGCUCAGACAGCUUUGUCAGCUUCAGCCGGAUGAGGAACUCAGAACGAACAGAGCUUUCCAACACAUGUUUGAUAUGAUGAAGUCACAUUUGUCCUCUAAAUUGGGAAUAUUGUUGCCAUUUUUAUGGCUUGGUCUUUUUUUUAACUAAAAAUUCAUCCAUAUGUGCCCAGAUUUCAAACGGUGAAAGCCAUUCAUUUCCACUCCUUCAAGUGAAAUGGAGUCAUUGUUUGAAGAAAAGAUUAUGGGAUUAUGGCUGUUAAGUCCUUUCCGCUGGGAACUGAGUGGCAGUUUAGUAGUGACUGUGUGGUUCCACCACGCAGCUGGGCCACACCACCGAAGCCUCAGACCAAGGGCGGAGCUGACCCAGACGGAGGACCAGAAAUCAUGAGACACAAAGGAAAAGAGAAACCUCUCGUCUUAAAGAAAAAAAGAAAGAAAACUCCUAAAAUCCCAACUUUAAGGUUUCAAGAAACAAUGAGAUGUACAGCUGUGACAAAAGCUGCUUCAUGUCACACUUCUCUUGUCACAGUUGCCGGUUGCGUCCUGCCGACUCAGCUUCUCUUUGUCUCGCUUUUCUUUGCUAACCCCAGGCGAGAUUUUGCAGUGCAUGACUGAGAGAAUGGCCUCUGUCU